CCUUAUUGUAUUCUAUGAUGAGCAUCCGCACGCGUGAAGGAUGAAGGUCCUCUGGAUUGUAAACUUCUUUUAUAGGGGGCGAAAAAAGGGAAUUCUUUCUCACUUGACAGUACCCUAUGAAUAAGCACCGGCUAACUCCGUGCCAGCAGCCGCGGUAAUACGGAGGGUGCAAGCGUUAUCCGGAUUCACUGGGUUUAAAGGGUGCGUAGGCGGGCUUAUAAGUCAGUGGUGAAAUCCUGGAGCUUAACUCCAGAACUGCCAUUGAUACUAUCAGUCUUGAAUAUGGUGGAGGUAAGCGGAAUAUGUCAUGUAGCGGUGAAAUGCAUAGAUAUGACAUAGAACACCUAUUGCGAAGGCAGCUUACUACGCCUAUAUUGACGCUGAGGCACGAAAGCGUGGGGAUCAAACAGGAUUAGAUACCCUGGUAGUCCACGCCCUAAACGAUGAUUACUCGACGUAUGCGAUACACAGUAGCUGCUGUCUGAGCGAAAGCAUUAAGUAUAUCCACCUGGGGAAGUACGAUCUCGGGCGAAUGCGAUUGGAAACUACAAUAGGU
rnacentral:rRNA from 1 species